rnacentral:rRNA from 1 species
UACGUAGGUGGCAAGCGUUGUCCGGAUUUAUUGGGUUUAAAGGGUGCGUAGGCGGUCCCAUAAGUCAGUGCUGAAAUAUCCCGGCUUAACCGGGAGGGUGGCAUUGAUACUGUGGGACUUGAGUAAAGUUGAGGUUGGCGGAAUUGACGGUGUAGCGGUGAAAUGCUUAGAUAUCGUCAAGAACACCGAUUGCGAAGGCAGCUAACUAAGCUUUAACUGACGCUGAGGCACGAAAGUGUGGGGAUCAAACAGG